GGAAACAGGACUGUUACUUUGAAAAAAUUAGAGCGUUUAAAGCAGGCUAACGCUUGAAUACAUUAGCAUGGAAUAAUGAAAUAGGACGUUUGAUCCUAUUUUGUUGGUUUCUAGGAUUGACGUAAUGAUUAAUAGGGAUAGUUGGGGGCAUUAGUAUUCAAUUCGUCAGAGGUGAAAUUCUUGGAUUUAUUGAAGACUGACUACUGCGAAAGCAUUUGCCAAGGAUGUUUUCAUUAAUCAAGAACGAAAGUUAGGGGAUCGAAGACGAUCAGAUACCGUCGUAGUCUUAACCAUAAACUAUGCCGACUAGGGAUCGGAUGAUGUUAAUUUUUUAAUGACUCAUUCGGCGCCUUACG
rnacentral:rRNA from 1 species